CACGUAGGGGACGAGCGUUGUCCGGAUUCAUUGGGCGUAAAGCGCGCGUAGGCGGCUCGGAAAGUCGGUCGUGAAAUGCCGGGGCUCAACCCCCGGGACUGCGUCCGAUACUCCCGAGCUGGAGGCAGGUAGGGGAGAUCGGAAUUCCCGGUGUAGCGGUGAAAUGCGCAGAUAUCUGGAGGAACACCGGUGGCGAAGGCGGCAUCCUGGACCGGCAUUGACGCUGAGGCGCGAAAGCCAGGGGAGCAAAGCGGG
rnacentral:rRNA from 1 species